ACGGAUCGGCGGACGGCCGCGUGCCCCUGCGGGGGGUGCGAGGAAAGUCCGGGCACCACAGAGCAGGAUGGUGGACAACAUCCACCCGGGGCGACCCGCGGGCCAGUGCCACAGAGAGAAGACCGCCUCCGCGCCGUGUGCGCGGCGGUAAGGGUGAAAGGGUGGUGUAAGAGACCACCAGCGGCCCCGGUGACGGGGCCGGCUCGGUAAACCCCAUCCGGUGCAAGGCCGAACAGGACGCGUCACGAGGGCUGCUCGCCCCAGCGUCCGGGUUGGCCGCUCGAGCCCGUCAGCGAUGGCGGGCCCAGAUGGAUGGCCGUCAUCUCGCGCGGGGCAACGCGCGCGAGGCACAGAACCCGGCUUACAGCCGGUCCGUCCCG
rnacentral:RNase_P_RNA from 1 species